rnacentral:rRNA from 1 species
UACGGAGGGUGCAAGCGUUAUUCGGAAUCAUUGGGCGUAAAGGGCGCGUAGGCGGUAUGUCAAGUCAGAUGUGAAAUCCCGGGGCUUAACUUCGGAGGGUCAUUUGAAACUGACAUACUUGAGUUCGGUAGAGGAAAGCGGAAUUCCUGGUGUAGCGGUGAAAUGCGUAGAUAUCAGGAGGAACAUCAGUGGCGAAGGCGGCUUUCUGGCCCGAUACUGACGCUGAUGCGCGAAGGCAUGGGUAGCAAACGGG